rnacentral:tRNA from 1 species
GCGGGAAUAGCUCAGUUGGUAGAGCAUAACCUUGCCAAGGUUAGGGUCGCGAGUUCGAGCCUCGUUUCCCGCU